rnacentral:rRNA from 1 species
AUGGCGGGUGGUGGUCGGAGAAAUCGGAGCCGAGCCGGGCGGCCGGCGGCGGCUCGGGUUGAUGCCGCAGAUCUGGACGAGGAGUCCGGAGACGGAGCUAUUCCCAGGUACCGGAACCUGCAGGACGUCGAUGCCAAUUUGGUGGAUCAGAACCAAGAGUUGAGACGGCAAGUUCAGGCCCUAGCGCAGCAAAUGGCGGCCGUGCAGACGCAGAUGGCUCAGAUUGCUGUUGCUGUGCAACGGAGGGAUAUGCCAGAAGACCAGGGCAGUGAGGAUGAUUCGUCUGACAGCGACGGCUCUCCCGCAAGCUCCCUGAGGCGUCCUGAAGUUAACCCCUUUCAAGCCAGACAGCGACACGGACGGAAUCGUGCUACUGCUGAGCGCGAGCACCGCAGGCGGCGCUGCUUUGGCGUUAAGUUGCCGGAGUUCUCGGGAGGGCUCUCUCCUGAGGAUUUUAUUGAUUGGAUAGAUGAAGUUGAGCGUGUCUUUGAAUAUGCGGAGGUGCCAGAGGAGGAGCGUGUUCCUGCAGUUGCAAUGCGACUGAAAGGGCGUGCAUCUGUUUGGUGGAAAAAUCUAGAGCAGAGUCGUAGAGUUCGGGGCAAGCGAAAGAUUGAUUCCUGGUUUGCCAUGAAGGAGAAGAUGCAGAGAGAGUUUCUUCCAUUUAAUUAUGAAGAAUCAUUAUUCAGGCAACUCCAAAAUCUACGACAAGGCACAAAAAGUGUGGACGAGUAUACAAAUGAAUUCUAUCAACUAGUAUCACGCAACAAUUUGAGUGAUUCCAAGAGUCAACUGGUGGCAAGGUAUGUUGGUGGUUUACGUCAAUCAAUCCAAGAUGUGUUGUCCUUGCAUAUGAAUUUUACAGUGUCAGAGGCAUACCAGCGAGCCAUCGCUGUGGAAAAACAGCAACAACGACCAGUGCGCACAAACAACGCUCAGUUCCGACCACGAUCUAAUAAUUCUGCACCAACAAGGGCGGCGAGCAGAAGCGACCCAGGGCCAACAAGAUCUGCCCCAUUGCCUAAAGGUGUCGGGGAUAAGUCCAAGUCAGCAACAGCAAGAGGUACUUGUUUUAAAUGUGGUUCUUCAGAACAUUUACAAAGAGAUUGCCCAAGGAACAUCGGCAGGGAUGGUAAAGGAUUAGUAGGUGACUAUGAUGAAGAGACAGAGCAUCGAGGUGAACCUACAUAUGAUAAUUAUGAUGAUAAUGAUGAGGUUGAGCUGGAUGGAGAUACAGGGGACAUGUUAGUAAUGGAGCGAGCUUUGAUGAUACCUCCAAAAGACGAAGAUUGGCGAAGACGGAGCUUGUUCCACACGCGCUGCACUAUAGGUGGAAAAGUAUGUCAUGUUAUUAUUGAUAAUGGCAGCUGGGAAAAUACUAUAUCAGAGGAGGCAGUAAAUAAACUUGGGCUUAAGAAGGAAAAUCAUCCUUGUCCUUAUAACAUGCGCUGGUUCAAAUCUGACAAGGUAUCGAAGGUAAAAUUUCGGUGUUUGGUGUCUUUCUCCGUUGGCAAUAAAUUCUUUGAUGAGGUAGAAUGUGAUGUUGUUGAUAUGGAUGUUAGCCACCUAAUUCUGGGAAGACCUUGGCAGUAUGACCGCCAUGCUGUACAUGAUGGCCGUAAGCACACAUAUACUGUCAUGAAAGAUGGCCAAAAAUUUGUGUUUAACCCAGUGAAAGAGGAUGAGUUAGUCAAAUCCAAGAGUUAUGAAUCAUCAUGCACCACAAGUCUCAUAUCUUGUAAGAAAUUUAUGCGUGAAGCAAUAGAAGGAGGCGUAUAUCUGCUACUGCUUUCAGAGCAGAAGAGUGAAGUUGGCAUACCAAAGGAGGCACAUGACUUAUUGGAAGAAUUUUCACAUGUCUUUCCAAAAGAGCUUCCUUCUGUAUUACCUCCCAUGCGAGACAUUCAACAUCAGAUUGAUUUAGUACCAGGAGCUAGUUUGCCAAAUCGCCCGGCUUAUCGAAUGAAUCCCCAAGAGUAUGAGGAACUAAAUCGUCAAGUGCAAGAACUAUUAGAUAAAGGUUUUAUUCAACCUAGCCUAAGCCCAUGUGCUGUCCCUGCACUCCUGACACCAAAAAAAGAUGGUUCAUGGCGCAUGUGUGUUGAUUCUCGAGCAAUAAAUAAGAUAACGAUUAAGUAUCGAUUUCCUAUACCUCGACUCGAUGAUAUGUUGGAUAAUUUAGCAGGGGCAGUGGUAUUUUCAAAGAUUGAUCUCAAGAGUGGGUACCACCAAUUAAGGAUCCGUCCAGGAGAUGAGUGGAAGACGGCUUUCAAGACAAGAGAUGGGCUUGGUUAG